UACAGUUAUACCAAGUUGGAUACAUCGGUUUUCCUCCGAUCACCGAAGUCAAGCAGCCUCGAGCAUGUCUAGUACAUAGAUAGGAGACCGCUUGGUAAUAUCAGCUGCCGCAA